GACGAACGCUGGCGGUAUGCUUAACACAUGCAAGUCGAACGAGAAGUUUUUUAUUGAACCUUCGGGGGAUAUAAGAGACAGACAGUGGCGAACGGGUGAGUAACGCGUGGGCAACCUACCUAUCGGAGCGGGAUAGCCUCGAGAAAUCGGGAGUAAAACCGCAUAACACGGAUAUAUCGCAUGAUGAAUCCGUCAAAACUCCGGUGCCGAUAGAUGGGCCCGCGUCUGAUUAGCUAGUUGGUAAGGUAAGGGCUUACCAAGGCAACGAUCAGUAGCCGGUUUGAGAGGGCGAACGGCCACACUGGAACUGAGACACGGUCCAGACUCCUACGGGAGGCAGCAGUGGGGAAUAUUGCGCAAUGGGGGCAACCCUGACGCAGCAAUACCGCGUGAGGAAGAAGGUUUUCGGAUCGUAAAGCUCUGUUAUUGGGAAGAAGCAGGACGGUA
rnacentral:rRNA from 1 species